rnacentral:rRNA from 1 species
UCCUGACUGACCGAUAGUGAACCAGUACCGUGAGGGAAAGGCGAAAAGAACCCCGGCGAGGGGAGUGAAAAAGAACCUGAAACCGUGUACGUACAAGCAGUGGGAGCACGCUUAGGCGUGUGACUGCGUACCUUUUGUAUAAUGGGUCAGCGACUUAUAUUCUGUAGCAAGGUUAACCGAAUAGGGGAGCCGAAGGGAAACCGAGUCUUAACUGGGCGUUAAGUUGCAGGGUAUAGACCCGAAACCCGGUGAUCUAGCCAUGGGCAGGUUGAAGGUUGGGUAACACUAACUGGAGGACCGAACCGACUAAUGUUGAAAAAUUAGCGGAUGACUUGUGGCUGGGGGUGAAAGGCCAAUCAAACCGGGAGAUAGCUGGUUCUCCCCGAAAGCUAUUUAGGUAGCGCCUCGUGAAUUCAUCUCCGGGGGUAGAGCACUGUUUCGGCAAGGGGGUCAUCCCGACUUACCAACCCGAUGCAAACUGCGAAUACCGGAGAAUGUUAU